rnacentral:rRNA from 1 species
CACGUAGGGUGCGAGCGUUGUCCGGAAUUAUUGGGCGUAAAGAGCUCGUAGGCGGCCACUCAAGUCGAAUGUGAAACCUCGAGGCUUAACCUCGACCUGCAUUCGAUACUGGGCGGCUAGAGUCUGGUAGGGGGAUCUGGAAUUCCUGGAUGUAGCGGUGAAAUGCGCAGAUAUCAGGAAGAACACCGGUGGCGAAGGCGGCUCUUCUGGG